UUGUUGGAGAUGAGGGUGUUUUGGCUCUAUGGAAAGGUGCUGGGCCAACAGUAGUGAGAGCAAUGGCAUUGAAUAUGGGCAUGCUUGCCUCCUAUGACCAAAGUGUUGAGUUUUUCAGGGACAACCUUGGUUUCGGUGAAGCUACAACAGUUAUAGGUGCAAGUGCUGUUUCAGGAUUUUUUGCUUCAGCUUGCAGUUUGCCAUUUGAUUAUGUGAAGACACAGAUCCAGAAAAUGCAGCCUGAUGCUGAGGGCAAGCUUCCUUACUCUGGCUCUAUGGAUUGUGCCAUGAAGACCUUGAAAGCUGGCGGUCCGUUCAAAUUUUACACUGGUUUCCCUGUGUACUGCAUUAGGAUUGCUCCACAUGUCAUGAUGACAUGGAUUUUCCUCAACCAAA
rnacentral:misc_RNA from 1 species